UAUCAAAUAAUUUCAAAUAGAAUAUGCAUCACAUCAAUUUAAUCAGGAAAUAAAAUUGAAGUUAACCGAAAAGUAUAUAAAAAAAAAAAGAUUGUUUAUAUACUAUUGCAUAAGAAAGCAAUAUUUUGUGCCGUUUUCAUUUUGCUUAUAUUACCAACAACUGUUUACAAAAUCAAAAAGUAAAUAAAUAAAUAAAAAUAAAAAUUUCUGUUAA
rnacentral:lncRNA from 1 species